GACGAACGCUGGCGGCGUGCUUAACACAUGCAAGUCGAACGGAAAGGCCCUGCUUUUGUGGGGUGCUCGAGUGGCGAACGGGUGAGUAACACGUGAGUAACCUGCCCUUGACUUUGGGAUAACUUCAGGAAACUGGGGCUAAUACCGGAUAGGAGCUCCUGCUGCAUGGUGGGGGUUGGAAAGUUUCGGCGGUUGGGGAUGGACUCGCGGCUUAUCAGCUUGUUGGUGGGGUAGUGGCUUACCAAGGCUUUGACGGGUAGCCGGCCUGAGAGGGUGACCGGCCACAUUGGGACUGAGAUACGGCCCAGACUCCUACGGGAGGCAGCAGUGGGGAAUAUUGCACAAUGGGCGGAAGCCUGAUGCAGCAACGCCGCGUGCGGGAUGACGGCCUUCGGAUUGUAAACCGCUUUCGCCUGUGACGAAGCGUGAGUGACGGUAAUGGGUAAAGAAGCACCGGCUAACUACGUGCCAGCAGCCGCGGUGAUACGUAGGGUGCGAGCGUUGUCCGGAUUUAUUGGGCGUAAAGGGCUCGUAGGUGGUUGAUCGCGUCGGAAGUGUAAUCUUGGGGCUUAACCCUGAGCGUGCUUUCGAUACGGGUUGACUUGAGGAAGGUAGGGGAGAAUGGAAUUCCUGGUGGAGCGGUGGAAUGCGCAGAUAUCAGGAGGAACGCCAGUGGCGAAGGCGGUUCUCUGGGCCUUUCCUGACGCUGAGGAGCGAAAGCGUGGGGAGCGAACAGGCUUAGAUACCCUGGUAGUCCACGCUGUAAACGGUGGGUACUAGGUGUGGGGUCCAUUCCACGGGUUCCGUGCCGUAGCUAACGCUUUAAGUACCCCGCCUGGGGAGUACGGCCGCAAGGCUAAAACUCAAAGGAAUUGACGGGGCCCCGCACAAGCGGCGGAGCAUGCGGAUUAAUUCGAUGCAACGCGUAGAACCUUACCUGGGUUUGACAUGGAUCGGGAGCGCUCAGAGAUGGGUGUGCCUCUUUUGGGGUCGGUUCACAGGUGGUGCAUGGCUGUCGUCAGCUCGUGUCGUGAGAUGUUGGGUUAAGUCCCGCAACGAGCGCAACCCUUGUUCACUGUUGCCAGCACGUUAUGGUGGGGACUCAGUGGAGACCGCCGGGGUCAACUCGGAGGAAGGUGGGGAUGACGUCAAGUCAUCAUGCCCCUUAUGUCCAGGGCUUCACGCAUGCUACAAUGGCUGGUACAGAGAGUGGCGAGCCUGUGAGGGUGAGCGAAUCUCGGAAAGCCGGUCUCAGUUCGGAUUGGGGUCUGCAACUCGACCUCAUGAAGUCGGAGUCGCUAGUAAUCGCAGAUCAGCAACGCUGCGGUGAAUACGUUCCCGGG
rnacentral:rRNA from 1 species